UCCUUGCCCAACUCCAGCUCAGGCAAAGAAGUUUUAAGAACCAGAGCAUCAAUCUCCUAGACUGGUCACUGCAUGAUUCCUUUGCUUCCUGAUGGUCUCUGAAGCAAGAAUAACUUGUCAGAGCAGCUACACAAAACAAGCCCUGCUGAUUAAAGUUGUCAGAGAAAUGCUAGCUCUAGAGAGUGGUACCAUGAGAUGAAAUGCUGUCAGCCUAAUACUGGGAGAUCAGGAUACAACCCGAGCUGUAAACCAAUGGACUGAGUCACACGAAUCUAAGUCCUGCAAGAGCUGCUUGUUACUUGCUCACCUCAGCUGAUUUGGAUUCCCUUGCCUCAGUGAUGCUGCUUCCAAGUUUUUCACUGGACACUCCACAAGAAUGAGAUUAAAAUCAUCAUAUUUUAUUUUAGUCUUCCACUGUGCCUCAUUUACUUUCACACACAGAGGAAUCCACCACACUUCCCUGUCUUCCCUCAUUUUCACUUCUUAAUAAAACGGAUAAUGGAAUAA